rfam:Brachypodium distachyon strain Bd21 chromosome 1, whole genome shotgun sequence.
UAGAUCCGCCCUCCGUCCAACAAAGGAUUUCUCAACUUUGAUCAAAUUUGAAUGCAUCUACAUAUAUACUAAAUUAUGUCUAGAUACAUUCAAAUUUUGACAAACUUAAGACAUUUUGUUGGACGGAGGGAGUAGACG